rnacentral:rRNA from 1 species
UACGUAGGGUGCGAGCGUUAAUCGGAAUUACUGGGCGUAAAGCGUGCGCAGGCGGUGCGCCAAGCUCGAUGUGGAAGCCCCGGGCUUAACCUGGGAAUUGCAUUGAGGACUGGCGUGCUCGAGUGCGGCAGAGGGGGGUGGAAUUCCACGUGUAGCAGUGAAAUGCGUAGAGAUGUGGAGGAACACCGAUGGCGAAGGCAGCCCCCUGGGCCGACACUGACGCUCAGGCACGAAAGCGUGGGGAGCAAACAGG